rnacentral:rRNA from 1 species
GACGAACGCUGGCGGCGCGCUUAAUACAUGCAAGUCGAACGGAAAGGCCUGCUUUCCCUUGUGGAUUGCGGGUACUCGAGUGGCGAACGGGUGAGUAACACGUGAGUGAUCUGCCCCCAACUUGGGUAUAAGCCUGGGAAACUGGGUCUAAUUCCCGAUAGGACUGCAGGGUGGUGCCUGUGGUGGAAAACGAUUUUCUAGUGGUUGGGGAUGAGCUCGCGGCCUAUCAGCUUGUUGGUGGGGUAAUGGCCUACCAAGGCGGCGACGGGUAGCCGGCCUGAGAGGGUGGACGGCCACAUUGGGACUGAGAUACGGCCCAGACUCCUACGGGAGGCAGCAGUGGGGAAUAUUGCACAAUGGGCGGAAGCCUGAUGCAGCGACGCCGCGUGGGGGAUGACGGCCUUCGGGUUGUAAACUCCUUUCGACCGCGAGGAAGCCACCUGGUUGGAAGGGUGGUGACGGUAGUGGUAGAAGAAGCACCGGCUAACUACGUG